GACGAACGCUGGCGGCGUGCUUAACACACGCAAGUCGAGCGGUAAGGCCCUUCGGGGUACACGAGCGGCGAACGGGUGAGUAACACGUGGGUGACCUGCCUCUAGCUCUGGGAUAAGCCUGGGAAACUGGGUCUAAUACCGGAUAUGACUCCACGGCGCAUGUUGUGGGGUGGAAAGCCUUGUGUGGCUAGAGAUGGGCCCGCGGCCUAUCAGCUUGUUGGUGGGGUGAUGGCCUACCAAGGCGACGACGGGUAGCCGGCCUGAGAGGGCGACCGGCCACACUGGGACUGAGACACGGCCCAGACUCCUACGGGAGGCAGCAGUGGGGAAUCUUGCGCAAUGGGCGAAAGCCUGACGCAGCGACGCCGCGUGAGGGAUGACGGCCU
rnacentral:rRNA from 1 species